UGUAAACGAAAAUCAUGCAGUUUCUCUUCAAAAACCCCCAUUUAACCAGAAGAAAAUGCAAUUUCUCUUCGAGAAUCCCCCAUUUAACCCGAAAAUGAUGCAUUUUCUCUUCAAGAAUCCCUGGUUUAUCUCGAAUAUCACACAUUUUCUCUUCAAAAAUCCCCUAUUUAACCCGAAAAUCACGCCUUUUCUUUGCAAAUAUCCCCCACUUAACACAAAAUCAUGCUUUUCUCUAUGAAAAUCCCCAUCUAAAAGAAAAUCAUGCAUUUCUCUUGGAAAAUCCCCCAUUGAAGUGAAAAUCACGCAUUUUGCCUUCGAAAACCCCCAUUUAACCUGAAACGAAGCAUUUCCUCUUCAAAAAUCCCCCAUUUAACCUGAAAAUCACGCAUUUUCCCUUCCAAAAUACCCCAUUUAAACAAAAAUCACACAUUUUCUCUUUGAGAAUCCUGAUUUAAACUGAAAUCACGCAUGUUCUCUUCAAAUUGCUGUUUAAACCAAAAUUACGCGUUUUCUCUUCAAAAAUCCCCCCCUUAAGCCCAAAUCAUCAUGUCCUCAAAAUCCCCCUUUACCCCAAGUCACGCAUUUUCUCUUGGAAAAAUCCCCAUUUAACC
rnacentral:lncRNA from 7 species